UAAUACCAGCGGUCCAAGUGGGACUCACUUUUAUUGGGUCUAAAACAUCCGUAGCCGGUCUUGAAAGUUUCUUGUUAAAUUGUUGGGCUUAACCCAACAACUGCAAGAAAUACUGCAAGACUAGAGACUGGGAGACGUAACGAGUACAGUAAGGGUAAUGGUAAAAUAUGUUAAUCCUUACUGGACUAACAAUGGCGAAGGCACGUUACGAGAACAGAUCUGACGGUCAGGGAUGAAGGCGAGGGGCGCAAAACGGAUUAGAUACCCGUGUAGUCCUCGCUGUAAACGCUGCCUACUAAACAUCGUGAUCUCUUCGAGAGAUGGCGGUGCUGAAGUGAAGACGGAAGUAGGCUACCUGGGGAGUAUAGUCGCAAGGCCG
rnacentral:rRNA from 1 species